rnacentral:lncRNA from 1 species
GGAAGAUGAAAAGGUCAUUGAAAAGGACAAUCUUUUUUAUGAUGAUUUGACUCUGGCAUCUCACUUGAGAACCAGAGAAAUUGAAUUCGAAAAACAGAAACUGGUAAUAAAGACCAUCUUUGAAGAGAAAACACAGACAUUUCUCAAGGAAAUCAAAGAGAUAUGUGCUAUGGUGAGAGAGUCCAAUUCAUGGGUACUUUUCCCAUUUGAAUUCGACAAGGAUUUCUUCAGGGCCUGUUUGUGUGCACUCUCCUGAAAAUUGGAGAUAUAGUGAUGUCAAGACUGAAAUUAAAAAGAAGAAUAAACUGAAGCAUUCCAUGAACA